rnacentral:lncRNA from 1 species
UUAGGAUUAUGUUUGGCAUUUAUAGAGCAGAACUCCCAUGUAAGUGGCUUAACUAAAUAGGGGUUUAUUCUUCCCAUAAAAUGAAGAGUGGGCUGGUCCGAGUUGGGCUGGUUUUGCAGCCACUUUGUGUGUGUCAUCCGUGGCUCUGGCCCUUGACAGCCUCCCCCAGGGCUAUUCUUGGCUUGUGACUUUUGUGUUCCUGUUGUCUAAUAGUCAUCUGAUGGCUGUCCUGUCUCCGACCUCUCAUCUGCAUUCUAGACAGGGAGGAAAAUUAAAGAGGAAAAGGAAAACGGGUGUCUUUAUUGGGGAGGUAAAGCUUCCCCAGAAAUACUAACCUGCACUGACCUCAGUGACCUAACCCUCACCUGGCCCCCUGCUGCAGCAGCGAAUAUUUUUAAAUGGGCACCUUGGCUCUCUGAACCCAAUUGGCGUUCUGUUAGUAAGAAAGGAAGGUAAAAAGACAAAGGGUAGGCAGUGAGCCAAGUGAGGCCCAAGUUUCCUUUGUACCUCUCGUGAUACCUGUCCAUCAGCAACUUAGACCAGGAGUGGGAAACUCUUGUCACUUGCCCCCAUUAUGGAUGUGGUCUACUUUAAUCCCCCUCCACCUUCUGUUUUUGUUCCUUCUGGUUUUAAUCUCCAUUAUCACUUUUAUGUAAUGUUCUUAUUCUCCUCUUGAGUGGAUUCAGUAUCUUUCAUUUUAUCUAUCUAUCUAUCUAUUUAUUUAUAUGUGGUGCUGAGGACCAAACCCAAGGCCUCACACAUGCCAGGCAAGUGCUCCACCACUGAGCCACAGCCCCAUUCCUGUACCCAGUCUUUUUGCUUCAACUUGUCUCACCCCUUUGGUUGACAGUAUUUAUUUCUAAUUUUUUUUAGAAGGGAUUCAACUACACUGUUUCCAUUCUUGCACAUUGUCAAGUCACUUUUAGGAAGUGAUAGUUUGGAUAUGAACUUGUUUUCUACUUGAUUUUCUUGGUCACUUUGCUCUGCCAUUUUCUGAAGUUGACUAUUACUGAAAGUCUGAGGCCAGCCUGAUCUUCCUCUUAUAAGGUAACUCGAUUUAUUUUUUUUCUAAAUGUCCAAGGAACUUGUUUGUUGGAUUGUUUUUCUUUGAAUCCCAAUAACCUAAGGUCUGUCUUGGUGUUCACUCAUCUCUUUUAAUUUAUCUUAGAAAACAUCUUCCCCUCUAAUAUGAACAUUUACAGUGAUGUACAUCUCUUGAAUUGCAUCUGGAAUGUUUUUUUUUAAUCUCUGUUUCUCCUUCAGAGACACCAAUCAGACAUUGAUUCUCCAUUGUCUCCCCCUGGUCUGUUAUUUUCUCUCCAGUUACCUUGUUUUCCAUUUUAUUUUCUGACCUUUCUUUUUUUUUUUUUUAUCUAUUCAAACACAUUUAUUUAACAUCUACAAUAUGCAACACAAGACACAGACCCUGAGGGGAAUACAAG